rnacentral:rRNA from 1 species
GACGAACGCUGGCGGCGUGCUUAACACAUGCAAGUCGAACGGUGAAGCUCCAGCUUGCUGGAGUGGAUCAGUGGCGAACGGGUGAGUAACACGUGAGCAACCUGCCCCUGACUCUGGAAUAAGCGCUGGAAACGGCGUCUAAUACUGGAUACGAGAAGGGUCCGCAUGGGCACUUUCUGGAAAGUUUUUCGGUUGGGGAUGGGCUCGCGGCCUAUCAGCUUGUUGGUGAGGUAAUGGCUCACCAAGGCGACGACGGGUAGCCGGCCUGAGAGGGCGACCGGCCACACUGGGACUGAGACACGGCCCAGACUCCUACGGGAGGCAGCAGUGGGGAAUAUUGCACAAUGGGCGAAAGCCUGAUGCAGCGACGCCGCGUGAGGGAUGACGGCCUUCGGGUUGUAAACCUCUUUCAGCAGGGAAGAAGCGAAAGUGACGGUACCUGCAGAAGAAGCACCGGCUAACUGCGUG